GUGAUGAGCACAAUCAGCACGACGAUGAGGCCGACCACUAUCCCCAGGAGGACAUAAGCCAGAGGAUCCUUGUUAGUCUCAACUUCAGUAGUUCCUCCCUGAUACCAACGAUAAAGAAGUCUGACUGUAUACAGUUUCACUUCAAGUCACUCACCUCCAGCACUGUGCUACGGGAGAGGCUGCCAGUGUCGGUCGCUGCUACUGUGACCAAGUAUUUCCCUCUCAGUGAAAUGUCGAGGCCUUCGGUAGAUCUGUGGAUGGUUGAAGUACGUGAGCCUAGUUGCCGUAUCUGGUUUAGACGAUAGGAAGUCAGGCAACGGAAGGUUGCGAGAAACAUAAUUUCUACAACAAACGAAGAAUUAGUUUGCCUUUUUACAGUGAUUCCUGAGGAAAGUUUGAAAGGUCUUCAACUGAACUUCAAGGUCAGAUGUCAAGGUUUUAAUGAGUUUAAAAAAUUGUGAUCUCUACACAUUUGUACACAGAACUCACCACCGCAGAGUUUUCU